UACGGGGGGGGCAAGCGUUGUUCGGAAUUACUGGGCGUAAAGGGCUCGUAGGCGGCCAACUAAGUCAUACGUGAAAUCCCUCAGCUUAACUGGGGAACUGCGUCUGAUACUGGAUGGCUUGAGUUUGGGAGAGGGAUGCGGAAUUCCAGGUGUAGCGGUGAAAUGCGUAGAUAUCUGGAGGAACACCGGUGGCGAAGGCGGCAUCCUGGACCAAUACUGACACUGAGGAGCGAAAGCCAGGGGAGCAAACGGG
rnacentral:rRNA from 1 species